ACACUCCUACGGGAGGCAGCAGUGAGGAAUAUUGGACAAUGGGUGGAAGCCUGAUCCAGCCAUCCCGCGUGCAGGAAGACGGCCCUAUGGGUUGUAAACUGCUUUUAUCUGGGGAUAAACCUACUUACGUGUAAGUAGCUGAAGGUACCAGAAGAAUAAGCACCGGCUAACUCCGUGCCAGCAGCCGCGGUAAUACGGAGGGUGCAAGCGUUAUCCGGAUUUAUUGGGUUUAAAGGGUCCGUAGGCGGACUGAUAAGUCAGUGGUGAAAUCCGACAGCUUAACUGUCGAACUGCCAUUGAUACUGUUAGUCUUGAGUAAGGUUGAAGUGGCUGGAAUAAGUAGUGUAGCGGUGAAAUGCAUAGAUAUUACUUAGAACACCAAUUGCGAAGGCAGGUCACUAAGUCUUAACUGACGCUGAUGGACGAAAGCGUGGGGAGCGAACAGGAUUAGAAACCCGGGUAGUCCCAUGA
rnacentral:rRNA from 1 species